UUGCAGGAGGAUUUUGGGGAUUACUAUUUGCUGGAUUCUUUGCAGGAGAAGGAGACAUUGGAGGUAACACCAAGGUGAUUGGCAAUAAUAUAAUAGCUAUUUGUGUCAUUCUUUCUUGGACUAUUGCGAUUAUGAGUCCUGCUUACUUUAUCAUGACGUAUGUAGGAAUCUUCAGAGUGCCAGAUUACAUAGAAAAAGAAGGCAUAGACCAAAGAAGACAUGAAUCAAGCUACAGACCCUCUAAACAUCCUGUUGAGCAGAGCAUGAAACAUGAAGAAAAACAUCAUUGGGGAUUAAAAGGAAAAACUGACUCACUAAAAAGAAAGAAUAUUUGUUCAUAGAAGUUUAUUUUGCUGCUUUUCUUCUUUACUUUGAAACAAUGUAUGUAGCCCAUUAAGUGCAAUGAUAAUAUACUUACUUUAUUUAUUGCCAUUUUGUAAAUCAGACACUAUGCAGAUUUAGUUUACUUUCAUUGGAAAAUAUUAAUAAAUAUUAUAUCUGAUGUCUUUUUUCAUCCAUUCCUCAACUGAUGGGUCUCAAACCUGACCUUGAAUCAGUUCUGGGCCACUCGAUAGACUUUACGCUCCAUAGCUUGAGAUCCACCCCUUACACAUAAUCCCCCAACUACUGUUCAGAAACCUCAGAUCUCAUUUGCCACUUCAUCAAUAAGAUGGGUCAUUAGAUAAGUGCAUUUGUUAUUUCCAUACUCCUCUUCUUAAUCCUCACUUUUA